CUGAAUGUGAAUUAGCUGCAAGUGUAGGCAAGGACAAGCCAAGCUCAGCAGAGUUUCUGCAGCCACGGUGAGACCUGGCUGGAAGCAGGGAUAAACCUGGGCAGCAGAGCAGGCCUGUUUAACCCUUCCAGCCUUCCUGACCUCCUCAAGCACAAACACCAGUUCUCUCUCCAUGCACUGUCAUUCCCUCUCCACCAAGGAAGCAAGAAAAACAGUUUUCCUGACCUACAUAUCGCAGCGUGUUGUAACUCCUGCUCUCUCCAUGACCCAUAUUUCCAAACUGAAAAAGCAAAACCCUGGGAGGACAUGGUGCUAGAAGAGUAUGGGAAGCAGGGACCCAGCCCUGUGAGGAGAUCUCCAA
rnacentral:lncRNA from 1 species